rnacentral:rRNA from 1 species
GACGAACGCUGGCGGCGUGCUUAACACAUGCAAGUCGAACGGAAAGGCCCUGCUUUUGUGGGGUGCUCGAGUGGCGAACGGGUGAGUAACACGUGAGUAACCUGCCCUUGACUUUGGGAUAACUUCAGGAAACUGGGGCUAAUACCGGAUAGGAGCUCCUGCUGCAUGGUGGGGGUUGGAAAGUUUCGGCGGUUGGGGAUGGACUCGCGGCUUAUCAGCUUGUUGGUGGGGUAGUGGCUUACCAAGGCUUUGACGGGUAGCCGGCCUGAGAGGGUGACCGGCCCCAUGGGACUGGGGUACCGGCCAGGACUCUUCCGGGGGCAACCGGUGGGAAUAUUGCCCCAUUGGCCGGAGCCUUAUGGCAGCACCGCCGGUUCGGGAAUACGGGCUUCCGGUUUUAAACCGCCUUUGCCCGUUACCGAGGCUGAGUGACGGUAAUUGGUUAAAAAGCCACCGCUAACUACGUG